rnacentral:ribozyme from 13 species
UUUUUAGCAUUUUCACUUUUUCUUUUCUUUGGUUUGCAAUUUACUUCCUUCUGUUUUUCUCUCUCUCCUUUUGGGCGGAACGCGAGAGAUGGCGGAUGGAG